rnacentral:rRNA from 1 species
UACGUAGGGACCAAGCGUUGUUCGGAUUUACUGGGCGUAAAGGGCGCGUAGGCGGCAAAUUAAGUCAUCUGUGAAAUCUCCGAGCUUAACUCGGAACGGUCAGGUGAUACUGAUCUGCUAGAGUGCGGAAGGGGCAAUCGGAAUUCUUGGUGUAGCGGUGAAAUGCGUAGAGAUGUGGAGGAACACCAGUGGCGAAGGCGACUCUUUGGCCUGUAACUGACGCUGAGGCGCGAAAGCGUGGGGAGCAAACAGG